rnacentral:rRNA from 1 species
UACGGAGGGUGCAAACGUUGCUCGGAAUCAUUGGGCGUAAAGCGCACGUAGGCGGACCGCUAAGUCGAAUGUGAAACCUCGAGGCUCAACCUCGAGCCUGCAUUCGAUACUGGGCGGCUAGAGUCUGGUAGGGGGAUCUGGAAUUCCUGGUGUAGCGGUGGAAUGCGCAGAUAUCAGGAGGAACACCGGUGGCGAAGGCGGGAUCCUGGGCCAGUACUGACGCUGAGGAGCGAAAGCGUGGGGAGCAAACAGG